GCACUGCCGAGGAGUCCCACAGUAAUAGGACGAAACGGCCGUUCAGUAC
rnacentral:hammerhead_ribozyme from 1 species